GACUUCAGGCACCCGCCACCACGCCCAGCAAUUUUUUGUAUUUUUAGUAGAGACGGGGUUUCACCAUGUUAGCUAAGAUGGUCUCAAUCUCCUGACUUCGUGAUCCACCCACCUCGGCCUCCCAAAGUGCUGGGAUUACAGGCCUGAGUCACUGCGCCAGUCCCUUAUUUUUUUUUAUAGAGACAGGAUCUCACUUUGUUGCCCAGGCUGGAGGUACAGUGGCUAUUCACAGGCACAGCCAUUGCACACUACAACCUUAAACUCCUCAGCUCAAGCAAUCUUCCUGCUUCAGCCUCCUGAGUAGCUGAGACUACAGGUGUGUGCACUGUUCCCAGCUAAGUUAUCAAGAAUGACUGUAAAAUUUGCUGGGAAUACAACAUCCUGAGAUAGGGAGGAACUGACCAGAACAGCCUGGGCUCUCUUCCAGUCCCCCAACAGAAGACAGAUGUCCUUCAAGGCUUUAUCCCAGAGAGUCCUGAUGCUCCUGAGAUUGGGUGACAAGAUUAUUCAAGUCUCAAACAUUGAAUUGGAUUGCUUCUCUUUUUUUUUCUGUACUUGUAAUCUAUUUAUCAGCUUCACAUGCAGUGAGUCCUUUGAAUCUAAGUAUCUGUGUCUUUCUUCAGUCCUAGAAAAUUUAUAGCCAUUAUUUGUUCUAUCACUCAUGGUCUCUAUUUCUCCCCACAUCUUCCCAACCCCAGGGUAUUCUUAUGAAUAGGUAUUGAAACAUUUGACCCCAUCCUCCAUGUAUAACUUUUCUUUCAUUUUGCUCAUCUCUUUUAUCCCUUUGUACAGCACUCUGAGGGAAUUACUUACCUCAAAAUUCAAGCUUACUAAUUGUAUCCAACUAUGAAUUAUAUGCUCUUCACGCAUAUAUUGAGUCCUUUUUUAACAAGAAUAUAUGUAUUUUUUGCAAGAUCUCUAUUAGGAUCACUUUCAUAACUACUUGAUCUUGUUUCCCAUAUGUAAUUCCUUCCUUUAUUUCUCCAACAAUAACUGUAGACUUUUUAAAGUUUUCUCCUAAUGCUUUACUGACUUAUGUAUAUUUUUCCAUUUCCAUUUGUUAUCUCUCUUAGUGAAGUUGGCUUUCCUCAAAUAUUUUUUGAGUCUUUACUCUGUUCUUGCCAUUGUGGUUGGGAGUCUUUGCUGGACGGCUGGGUGGGAACUGCUGCCAUGAUUCUGAGGGUUUUGGUUGAGAGGGAAGGGUCACAGUAUGCUGCGGUUUGGUGGCUUCUCACCUGGGCGGUGAUACAUCUUGUUUCUGCCAGGUGCGGCCAGCCACCUAAAGUACCACCUGGUCUCUGAUCCAAGCUGCAACCCUUACUGUUCUCUAAGUCUGUCAUCUAAAGGCAGACAUCUUCACCUUUGCCCUUGGCCCAUGGCAGAAGGAGAAUGUGCAACAAUCAUUCAAAGAAAAACCCCAACUAACCACACCAUCGGUAGCCCCUAGGGUCUCUUCUGCCCUGUUUGCACUGCCUCUAGUCCAGAGGCAACGUGCAGAGCUCUCCCACAUAUACCCUACUCUCAAGUUUCUCAGUAUGAUCUGCCAUCUGUUCUUGUCUUUUCCAGAAUCCUGUUGUUUUUAGUCUACUGAGAGUCCCCUUUCUUGCUUUCAAAUGGAACUGUGUAUAGUGUUUAUUUGUUCUAUUUCUCUCAUGUCUAUUAUUUCUGUGCAUUUGGUAUAGAGGAGAAAGACUGCAGUGUGUGUUCAGUCCACCAUCUUGAAACUGGUGCUUUCCCUCUGUGUGUUUCCCGUCUGUCCCAUCUUCCUCCACAACCCCAGCCCCAGUAGCAAAUAUCUGACCCUGUGACCACGGGCUCAGGAAGCUACCAAACCACCUUCUUAGG
rnacentral:lncRNA from 1 species